rnacentral:piRNA from 1 species
UGCCUAUGCCAUAAAGAGACUUAGGGCAUU